rnacentral:rRNA from 1 species
GUGAGGAAUUUUCCGCAAUGGGCGAAAGCCUGACGGAGCAAUGCCGCGUGAAGGAUGAAGGCCUAUGGGUUGUAAACUUCUUUUCUCAGAAAAGAAUUAUGACGGUAUCUGAGGAAUAAGCAUCGGCUAACUCUGUGCCAGCAGCCGCGGUAAGACAGAGGAUGCAAGCGUUAUCCGGAAUGAUUGGGCGUAAAGCGUCUGUAGGUUGUUUAAAAAGUAUUCUGUCAAAGAUUAGGGCUUAACCCUAGAUAGGCAGAAUAAACUUUUAAGCUAGAGUUUGGUAGAGGCAGAGUGAAUUCCCGGUGGAGCGCUGAAAUGCGUAGAUAUCGGGAGGAACACCAAAUGCGAAGGCAAUCUGCUGGGCCAAUACUAACACUGAGAGACGAAAGCGAGGGGAGCUAAUGGGAUUAGAUACCCUGGUAGUCC